GACAGAGGAUGCAAGCGUUAUCCAGAAUGAUUGGGCGUAAAGCGUCUGUAGGUGGCUUUUCAAGUCCGCCGUCAAAUCCCAGGGCUCAACCCUGGACAGGCGGUGGAAACUACCAAGCCGGAGUACGGUAGGGGCAGAGGGAAUUUCCGGUGGAGCGGUGAAAUGCAUUGAGAUCAGAAAGAACACCAACGGCGAAAGCACUCUGCUGGGCCGACACUGACACUGAGAGACGAAAGCUAGGGGAGCAAAUGGG
rnacentral:rRNA from 1 species